ensembl:lncRNA
GCACUAAAAGAAUAUAAUUAGAUGUGAGGACAGAUGGGAGAAGUACGAUCACACCAAAGGAAACCUGAAGUCAUGGAAGGAAGGAGAAACCAUAGAAGUGUUGCAUUAUUGAAGAACAAUGCUGAAGAUAAAGCUGCAGAGCGAGUGAGAAGACAAAGCAGGUCACAGAGGAUCAGAAUGGACACUCAAAAUCAGGUGAGGGUCUUUUACAGAUACUCCUGAUCAGAUAAAUGUCGCAGUUUUAUAAAUCCAUUUGUGUACAUUUCAUUCAAUUGAGUGCUUUAUACCUGCUUAUGCAUGUAUUCUACACAAGAAUAAAUAUAAUGUCCAGGUUUCUAAAAAGAUUACAUAAUUCCACAAUGAUUUUACUGAUGUUAUUUCAUGAAGCAAACACUGAUGUGAUACCUGUCAGUCAGAGAUGAUCAAACAUUACAAUCCUCCAGAUCCCACAGGUAAAGUGUUGUGAAUGCGCACAUGAGAGGAGAACAUGGUAAAUAACCUGCAGUCAGGUGGAGUUACGCUGGUGUCAGUUUCCCUCAUGACAGGCUUCAGUACGUUUGACAUUGUUAACAGACUAAAUCCACUCGUGCUUUCCUUUUUCGAAGCAUUUUAUAAUUGCAGCAAUAAUACCCAUACUUGAGGCAAUGUGCAUUUAAAUCAAUGCUACAUCUCAUUUACACUUUGUUUGUUAGAGAAUUUUAGACAAGAGCAUGGAAACAGAUUUUGUGACAGAUGAGCAGAUGGAACGAACAGAACAGAGGUCAUGUUUAUUUCCGCCACUGAGCUCUCAUUUAGUUCAGAAAAGAGAAGAACCAGCUUCAGUUUCACUGAAUGAUCAGCAAAGAAAAAAAGAAGAUCAAAGAUGUUUGUUAGAAGAGCUGGCCCGUAUAGAACAAGACCUGAAGGAAACCAUUCAAAGAGAGGAGAAGAGACAACAGGAACUGGACCAAGUAAGACGAGAAGAGAAUCGGAUCCACUGGAGAAGUCUGUUGUUUCUCAGCCUCAACCAGCGUACAGCGAAGCCCUGGGUGACAAGCUACUAUAAGAACAUACCAAUGCACAUCUAUUGCCUUCCAAUAGAGACUGUUGUCCGAAAUCAAAAUAACAAUAAGAAGAAUAAAAGAAGAUGAGGAAAUUAAGCUGUUCAGUAACAAUCUUAAAGAAAAUCAGAGCAUCCCGACCAUCAAGUAAUCAAACAGACGGUGAACACUUUUAACUGCAAUGAUUAUUUGUUGCGAUUAAACUUAUAGUAAAAAUUUGUAGUUUUGUAUGUUGUUUGAGGGUUGGCAUCAUCUGAGGUCCUCUGAGGAGCUGGCAUCAUCUCUUCUCAGGUUUUCAGUCAUCUCAGAUCUUCGUUAGGGUUGGGCCCAGACCCAGCCCACAUCUGGCACAUGUGGAAUGAUGAUCUGGCCCACAUGUGGCAUGGAAUGAUGGCACUUGUGUGGACUGCUCCUGUUUGCCAGAUCUGGGCCAAAAGCAGGCCAUAUCAAUGCCACUUGUCAGCCAAGAGCAAAGAAUUAAACCACACUGAAUCUUGUCUGAGUCACAAAAUCUGCGUAUAUUAAAUACGGAGUCAUCUCAGCCUUUAUAAACCCAUUAAAAAGGAGAAUCACUGAAUGAAAGAAGAGAAAAGAAAAAAGAAAUUAUCAGAAACACAACAACAGCUGACUUCAGCCACAGCCUUAGAUGAAUUCAGCUGAAGAUAAAAGACAUUAAAUCUCUGAAGAUCUCGGCAGAUGAGGAUUAAACAACUCAAUAAACAGCAUUACCAUCUUCA